UACCGAAGACUAUCAAACUCCGAAUGCCGUCAUCUUAUACUUGGGAGUCAGACUGUGGGUGAUAAGAUUCAUAGUCGAAAGGGCAACAGCCCAGAUCGUCAGCUAAGGUCCCUAACUGUAAGUUAAGUGGUAAAGGAUGUGGGAUUGCACAGACAACCAGGAUGUUGGCUUAGAAGCAGCCACUCAUUCAAAGAGUGCGUAAUAGCUCACUGGUCGAGUGAUCCUGCGCCGAAGAUUUCCGGG
rnacentral:rRNA from 1 species